GAUGAACGCUGGCGGCGUGCCUAAUACAUGCAAGUCGAGCGAACAGAUGAGGAGCUUUCUCCUCUGACGUUAGCGGCGGACGGGUGAGUAACACGUGGAUAACCUACCUCUAAGUCUGGGAUAACUUCGGGUAACCGGGGCUAAUACCGGCUAAUAUAUUGAACCGCCUGGUUCAAUAGUGAAAGACGGUUUUGCUGUCACUUAUAGAUGGAUCCGCUCCGCUUUAUCUAGUUGGUAAGGUAACGGCUUUGCAAGGCAACGUCGCGUAGCCGACCUGAGAGGGGGAUCGGCCACAAGGGAACUGAGACAGGGCCCAGACUCCUAGGGAAGGAAGCAGUGGGAAAUUUUCCGAACGGGGAGAAAGCCGGACGGAGAAACGCGGGGUGGGGGAUGAAGCCCUCCGGUUCGAAAAACUCUUUAUUAGGGAAGAAAAAAUGUGGAAGUAACUAUGCACGUUUUGACGGUACCUAAGGAGAAAGCCCCGGCUAACUACGUG
rnacentral:rRNA from 1 species